rnacentral:rRNA from 1 species
GUGAGGGAGGACCAGCAGGUUCUGGGCUACCUACUCAACAACCUCACAAAAGAGGUGCUCGUCGCGGUCACCGCGGUCACCACCGCGCAUGCUCUGUGGACAGCGCUCGCAGGUAUAUUCUCGUCGCAGUCCUUGAGUCGCGUCAACAACAUCCACACUGCCUUGAUCAAUGCGCAGAAAGGGAACCAAUCGGUGGUCGCCUACUUCGCCGCCAUGCGUGGCCUUGCUGAUGAGCUCGCCGCCGCCGGCAAGCCCAUCCAGGACGAUGAGCUGAUCUCACAUCUUCUUCAC